AAUGCAGGAUGUCAGCUACCUACAAAUAAACAUGUCAUGUCAUGUGAUGAAUGAAAAUGAAUUCCAGGAUGAAUUAGGAAACUCAGCGUUGGGACUGCGUGCUCUUUGCAUGUUCUAGCCACUGGCUUUGGACCUCCCCCUGCCCACCUUGGCAUAGGCUCUGCUCUAACAUACUUUCCCCCAGCUGAAUCCUGAGAUGACUGAAGGAAGGUCGGGUCUAGUGGAAACAAACCUCGGAAAGCUGGGAGGUGGAGUGACAGCAUUCACAUCGUUGAAACUCUAGCUAAGAUACCAAGUCCCCCAGCAGGGCUGGCUGGGGCACUCUAACUGCACACCCAUUCACAAGUGAAAAAUACCCAGAAGAAGGACAGGAAGGAGGGGGGUCUCCUUGGUGUCUCCAGCCUAUGACACUCCAUUCCUGAGAGACCUGUGUUCAGACGGGAUCUGCAGACAGAAAGGUGUGAUCUCCCCCACCUCGGCAGGUGUUCCUGGCUGCAUCUGUAAAUGCCUCUUAGAGGACAGCUGGAGGGAUCCAGAGGAAUGACAUGGGGAGAAAAUCCAAGCAAGCGUCCCCAUCGGAAACUCCAUGCACGCAGAGAAAGGCAGCGUGGAGGAAGUUAGGGAAUCAACGAUUUGAAAAGAUUUUAGGUUCCAAUUUGAAAUACUUGGAACAUAUCAAAAAUACUCUUUACAGGUGGAAACAACUCUGAAACCUUCUUUUCUUCUCACUGAAGAUUGUGAAUGAAAUGUAGGCCAGCCCAGAAACAACGUACAUAAAACCGCGCAGUUUGCGACAGACCCAGUACGGCCCCGGCCUUCAGCGGCUGGAAAACCUUCCCGACUUAGGAAAGCGCAUUUGUCCGCGUGGAAGUCCGCCCAGUGGCAGGUCACUCCUCCAGCCUGUUCUAUACUAGCGAGCUGCAUUUUAUAAACAAAACCUCUGAAGGCACCAAGUCAUCCAGAAAAUCUGAAGCAAUUAAAGACGAGUACGAAAAGUCUGAAAUAGCAAAGUUCUCACCAUGUGACUGAACUGGCCUGUGAGGAAGAGGAUCCAGCUGCUUUCUGAGAACUUCUGUGGUCAGAAGGAGAACCCGGUUCAUGAGCUCGUUCACCUGAGGACACAGGCGCACCUUUAACACUUUAUAGCCCAACAAAACCCCCUCCACUGGAUUCUAUAGCUGGCACCCCUGAGCCUCUUACAAACCCCGCUCUGUACUAGGUAAUAAUGCCCACCGCCCCCCUCUGCGUUCCCCACCCCUGCGGCAAGGCUGCAAAGGCAGGGCCACAGCUACGGUCCCCGUAGGUGGCUUGCACCUGCCCGCGAGGGCCGUGGGCAGCCUUGCAGGCCCCAGCCCCGUCCCUCCAGCUCCCCGCUCACACACUGCGGGGCUCUCGGUGGGCCCCACUUAGGGCCUGUGUCUUCAGGUCGGUUGUCCCUAUCCACCUGUCACCUCACCAGCACCGGCUCUGAGCAGCUCUGCGUCUGCCUGAGGCUGGCUGUGAUGCCUCUGACAGCGUAGGCACUAAGCACACGUCUGCAUGAACGCGUUACAAAACGAAACAGCCGUACCUCUACCCGCAUCAGUGAGGGUGUGCAAGAGCAGCACAGUAGCGGACCCGCCCGUACCUGAUUGGAUAAAUAAUCCAAGGAAGUUUGUUGCUCGUCCAUCAUGU